rnacentral:rRNA from 1 species
CCUACGGGUGGCUGCAGUGAGGAAUAUUGGUCAAUGGACGAGAGUCUGAACCAGCCAAGUAGCGUGCAGGAUGACGGCCCUAUGGGUUGUAAACUGCUUUUAUAGGGGAAUAAAGUGGACUACGUGUAGUUUAUUGUAUGUACCCUAUGAAUAAGGACCGGCUAAUUCCGUGCCAGCAGCCGCGGUAAUACGGAAGGUCCGGGCGUUAUCCGGAUUUAUUGGGUUUAAAGGGAGCGUAGGCAGUUUUUUAAGCGUGCUGUGAAAUGUACCGGCUCAACCGGUGAUGUGCAGCGCGAACUGGGAAUCUUGAGUACGCAGUAAGCAGGCGGAAUUCGUGGUGUAGCGGUGAAAUGCUUAGAUAUCACGAAGAACUCCGAUUGCGUAGGCAGCUUGCUGUAGCGUAACUGACGCUGAAGCUCGAAAGUGCGGGUAUCGAACAGGAUUAGAUAUCCCAGUAGUC